ensembl:lncRNA
AAAGCUGUAACUAAGUUUUUCAACAUCUUCAGGACAGAGGAGUUUACACUUCUUUACUGUUUCUCACAAACUGUAUUUAGUUUUUUAUCCUAGUAAUGUGGAGAGAGAGAAUAAAGAGAGAGAAUACAGAGAGAAUAAAAAAGGGAAAGAGAGAGAAUAGAGAGAUGGUGAGGAAAGAAGCGUGGCUCACUGUAGAGUAUUGGGAGGGGCUUCAGUAGCUUAUUAUAAUAAACUGUAAAUAGAGAUAUAAACGACUGACGCAGAUCAGAGCGGUUCAGGGUUUAUGCACACAGACAUGCCCCCUGCGCUACUACUGGCUGUAUGCAAAUUCACUAAUAGAUUGUAAAAAUAAUAUUCAGAACUUUAGCUGUGUAUGCUAACCUCGCUAAACAAUAAAAAUCAAAAUAUACAGCUUGGUGUUGGGGACAAAACAUCACUAAGUAGUGCGUACUACAGGAAGUGACAGUCCAGUGUUCUGGUCAGAGUGUCCACUUCACUCCUUAAAAACUUAAUAAUAAUAAUAAUAAUAAUAAUAAUAAUAAUAAAAACAAUAACAAUAAUAAUAAGAAGAAUAAGAAUAACAACAACCCAGCUGUGUGUAUGUUAUCGCUCCUGGUCUGUGUCGAGGUUGUUCAGCAGGUACGAGUCCAUGUGGCUCUGCACAACCUGAACAUCAUAAACACACAGAACUCAACAUUACACAACAGGAAGUCAACAUCACCAUUAUUACACAGUAUUACACAGCAGUGUGUGUGUGUGUGUGGUUGUGUGUGACUGAGUGUGUGUGAGAGUGUGUGAGAGAGAGAGAGAGAAAGAGGGUGUGUGUUUAUGUGUGUUUAAGAUAGUGUGUGUACAUGCCUGUGUGUGUGGAGAGAGAAUCUGAACUGAUCUGUGAGUGAAAGUUAAGCUCAUUUCCAUCAUCACGCCUUAACUGCAGGUCGCAUGCAGGACUUUUACAUGUUGCUAAACUCCACAUCUCCAUUAAAACCAGAAUAAAGAUAAAGAUAAAUGUAAGAAUGUAAGCAGAUGUAAGAAGAUAAUAAAGAUAAAGAUGGUGUGCACUUACUGUGGAAGUUUCCUGAACUAAAGCAGCUUGCAACAACAUUUAACACAAGACUUUAAAUCCAGCUCAUUACAUUAAUUACAGCUUAUAAAGACCCCAUAAACUUUAUCAUAUACACUCUACAGUCACACCAGCUUAGCUAAUUAGCUAACAUGCUAAAUGAAUUAUUGUUAGUGUUAGUUUGUGAAAUAAUUAGCAGCAUAAAGCACUGAAGUUUUAUUAAGUAAACAAAUACAAACUAAAAUCUCAUUUUAGGUAUAGAAAAUGCUUUAAAUGUUCAUUUUGCUGCCUAUGUAGCAUGCUAGCAAGCUAACUAGCUAAAUGUCACUCGUAUAUAAACAGGGAGAAGUAUAUCAUUGUGGAAGUUAUAAAAACUUGUAUAUACACACACACACGCACAUUAUAUAUAUAUAUAUAUAUACACAGUAUCUCCCAAAAGUGAGUACACCCCUCACAUUUUUUGUAAAUAUUUGAUUAUAGCUUUUCAUGUGACAACACUGAAGAAAUGACACUUUGCUACAAUG